GGNAAAGCGGGGGAUCGAAAGACCUCGCGUUAUACGAGCAGCCGACGUCUGAUUAGCUAGUUGGUGAGGUAAGAGCUCACCAAGGCGACGAUCAGUAGCGGGUCUGAGAGGAUGAUCCGCCACACUGGGACUGAGACACGGCCCAGACUCCUACGGGAGGCAGCAGUGGGGAAUUUUGGACAAUGGGGGCAACCCUGAUCCAGCCAUGCCGCGUGUCUGAAGAAGGCCUUCGGGUUGUAAAGGACUUUUGUCAGGGAGGAAAUCCCGCUGGUUAAUACCCGGCGGGGAUGACAGUACCUGAAGAAUAAGCACCGGCUAACUACGUGCCAGCAGCCGCGGUAAUACGUAGGGUGCGAGCGUUAAUCGGAAUUACUGGGCGUAAAGCGUGCGCAGGCGGUUGUGCAAGUCUGAUGUGAAAGCCCCGGGCUUAACCUGGGAACGGCAUUGGAGACUGCACAGCUAGAGUGCGUCAGAGGGGGGUAGAAUUCCACGUGUAGCAG
rnacentral:rRNA from 1 species